GUAAGAUGGCGGCGCGGGGGGCGGCCUGGCGGGGCGGUCACGUGGUGAGGAGUAGCGCGCGAGCCUCCUUAAGUGAUCUCUAAGGUUCAAGAGAUUCUCCUGCCUCAGCCUCCCAAGUAAUUGGAAUUACAGGCCCAUGCCACCCCACCCGGCCAAUUUUUUUUGUAUUUUUAGUAGAGAUGGGGUUUUGCCAUGUUGGCCAGGCUGGUCUCAAACUCCUGACCUCAAGUGAUCCGCCAGCCUCGGCCUCCCAAAGUGCUGGGAUUACAGGCACGAGCCACCAUGCCGGACCUAUUAGUGUAUUUACUGGAUAUCAAGAUGACUAAGAAAUAGCACUUGCCUUGAAGGAGCUUUUCUAUUUGAGGAAAAAGACAUGUAUAUAAAUAACUGCAAACAGAAUGAAACAAGUGUUAUGUAGAUCUACAUACAGUGACAUGCCAUGGGAAUGCUGAACACUGAGCAACAGUUUCAACUAGCGAAUUGGCACAGGAAACAUGAAAAAUAAGCGUAUUUUCAAUAUGACAAGAAUGGUCAUUUCUGGAUAUAAGAACAAGAGAAAAGUCAUGGGUAUAUGGAAAGGCAUGGACUCUUCAAGGAAGAGCAAGUAGUCUAAUGUAGAUGCUGUAUAGGAAUCUGGGGACAAAGGGACAGAUAAGUGGUGUAGACAAAGAGGCUGGAAAUAGGGUUAUGGGCUAGAUCAUGAGUGACCUGUAAGCAUUAGGAGUUUUGAUUUAUUUUGGAAUAAGAAACAUUUAUGGCUUUUGAGAAGGAAAAUUACACAAGGGAAAAGAAAGGAUUUUUAUUUUUUAUUUUUAUUUUUGGAGAGAUGAGAUCUCACUAUGUUGCCCAGGCUGGUCUUGAACUCCUGAACUCAAGCAAUCCUCCCGGCUCGGCCUCUGAAACUUCUAGGAUUAUAGGCGUGAGCCACUACGCCCAGCCAGGAUUAUGUUUUUUUAUGGGAGGGAUGAGAAUAUUGGUAGGUGGGUAGAGGAUAAAUGAGAGAGAAUAUGUAUAUGUGAGAUUGAAUAUAUAAUAGAAAAAAUUGAUAGGACAAGUCCUGCGUUAUUACUACAUUUUAUGAGGAAAAUCUAUAUAUUAGAAGCACUUUAAAGGUAUAUUUGCUAUUCUAGCUGUGGAAACCAUCUGAAAACACAUUUGAAAGUGCUUUGAAACAGGGGUCAACUUCUCUGCAAAGGGCCAGAGUAUGUUUAGCUUUGCGGGCCACAGAUGGCCUCUGUUGCAUAUGCUGCUGGGUCUCCACCUUCCUCCUCCUUUUCUUCCCUUCCUCUUCCUUCUUUUUCUUCUUCUCUUUCUUCUUUCUCUUUAAAAGCAUAAAAUCAUUCUCAGCUCUUGGGCCAUACAGAAACAGGCCAUAGGCCAGAUUUGACUUCUAGGCCAUAGUUUGCCGACCCUCCAUUUUAGAACUUAGCUUUCCUGAAAGAGCAUUUGGGUCUCUCUCUCUCUUUCCCUUUCUCUCUCUCUGUCUCUCUCUCUCUCUCUUUCAGUAAGUGAAGUAAGAAAUAGGUCUUUCUUGAGGAACAAAAAGCUGAAAUAAUUUCAUGCAUUUGAAUAUGACCCUUGACCUGUUUUUGUCCAUCAUCACUCAGAUUUGUGGCUGCAACCACCAACCAAUUUGGUGCCAUAGGAUAUAGCAUAAUUUUUCAGCAACAGUUCAUAAGCUUUUCUUUUUGUUCUUUUUCCUUCUUCCAGUUGUGGUGGUUUAAAAACAUGUCUGCAAAAUCUUUGACACUUCUCAGUAAAAAAUAUAGUCUUGUGUUCCCUUUUCUUGAACCUAAGUGGCCUUUGUGCUGCCUCAACAAAUAGAAUAUGACAGAAAAGACACUAUGUGACUUUUGAGACAGGGUCAUAAGAGGUGAUACAGCUUCCCCAUGCCCCUGCAUUUUAGAGCUCUGGGUUGCCAUGUAAGAAUAGCUACCCUGAAGCUACCAUGCUGAAGAGACCACAGGGAAAUCACAUAGAGUUAGAAAGAGGUGUCUGAAGAAGCCCAGCUGCUCCCAAUCCCAGCUAUUUAAGUCCUCCCAGACCAGGUGCCAUAUAUAUGAGUGAGCAAGCCUUCAGAUGGUUCCAGCACCAGCCACCAUCUAGCUGUAAGCUCAUGAGACCCCUUCAACGAAAACCAUCUAGAUUAGCUUAGUCAAGCCCCAGAACCGUGAAAGACAAUAGACUUGCUAUGGAGGUCGCCACAUGCCUCUUUUUUCUCCCUUUGUGAAUGGGAUUAUUUAUAAUGGUUACCCCAUACCUACUCCACUAUGUAUAUUGGGUAUGAGGGAGAGAUAAUUUGUCUCACUAGCUGACAGAUUUUUCAGACCUCAAGGAAUGCCACGUGAGCUGUACUCACAGGACCACACACAAGUAUCUUUAUCCACACGUGACCUGAUUUCACUGAUAAAGUCCUGGACCUUGAGCCUGAGCCCAAUGUCUUAAUAAAUGAGAAUUUCAGAAGGUCUUGGGAGGGGGUGAGUAUAUUUUGCAUGUGGGAAGGAUGUAAAUAAUAUGUGGCCUGAGAGCAGAUUAUGGUGGUUUGAAAAUGUGUCCACCAAUUCUUUAAUACUACUCUCAACAAGAGGUGGAAUCUGUGUCUCUUCCUUUGGAACAUGAGUGGACCUUUGUGAUUAAAUGCAGCAGAAGGAUGCUGUGUGAACUCUGAGACAGGGUAAUAAGGGGUGAUACAGCUGCCACCUAGUUCUUUCUCAGAACAUGUGCCUUUGGAGCCCUGAGCUGCCAUGGAAGAAAACCACCUACCCUGAAGCCACAACACUGGAAAGACCAUGUGGAAGAACCACAGAGAGAGAGAAGAGGACCAAAUGUGUGAGCCUUCCCAGCCCAGGCUCCAAAUAUGCAAGUAGUAAGCCUUCAUUUCUUUUUGGUUUUAAUUUUUUUUUUUAAAUAAAUCGAAAUGGGUUCUCACUAUGUUGCCCAGGCUGGUCUUGAACUCCUAAGCUCAAGUAAUCCUCCUACCUCAGUCUCCCAAAGUGCUGGAAUUGUAGGCAUGAGCCACCAUGCCCGGCUGCAAUUAGUAAGUCUUCAGAUGCUUCCAUCACCAGCCACCAUCCGAUGACAACCCCAUGAAUGACCCUCAGCAAGAACUACCUAGCUGAAUCCAGCCAAACUCCAGACCCAUGAGAGAGAAAUAAAAUUGUUGUUUGAGUCACUAAAUACGGAGUAAUUUAUAUUAUCAACAGAUAACUGGAACCACAAGUGUAAUUGUUAAAGGUAAAACUUUGAAUACAUUUAUAUUUGCCUUCUGCCACAUUCCAUAAUUGACUUUUGUUCAUGAACCUAUUGGCAAGUUUGCCUUAUUGCUUUUCCUUCUUCCCUCUUUUUUUUUUUUGUAACUUAAAAAAUCAUAUAAUAAAACAACACAAAAAUGUAUUUGAAUGUAGGUUGAGUGACCGUAAAUAAGCACAAAACUUCUCCUUCCUGUGACUCUCUUGUCUGUAUAUGCCAAGUAUCUAACACAAGGCCUGCCUGGCACAUAAUUUUUUUUUUUAAAUGUUAGUCUCUUUUAUCAUUCUUUUUCCCUGUCAGUGGUAUUAUCUUUACCCAUGGAAUCCAGCACCCUCAUGCUGACUUAUAGUUCCCCAAAGUCCCUAACCUCUACAGUCCUCUCCAACCCCCACCCCAGGCCUCUCUCUAUGUUCCAGACAUUUUCUGGCUUUUUACCAUUAUCCAAACUCUGAACUUAUCUACUUAGUUUUUAUAAAAAAACACAGAGUGACUACAUAGCUAAUAUAAAUAAUGCCAGUGUUAACACAAAAAUUUGACUUGAAUGAUUACAAUAGCAAACUUCAAUGUUUACCCCAUGGAAUAGGCAGAAAAUUUCAAGCACUUUUCUAGGCCACCUGAGUCUAUUUUGAGUAAGGAUCCUUAAGUUGAUACUCAAGUAAUGACAUUGAUGCAAUGUAGAAGACUAUGCUAAAAUUUGUCCUGGCUUCUCUCCAUGCUAUGGGCCAUCUGUAAAGCUUUGGAGUCUAGGUCAGAUGUAUGCGUUGUCUCCUCUUUGCUACCAUUUUUGUACAGAUUUCUAAUCUAAAUAAAAUUAAUGGCAAUAACAGUGUGGAAAGGGAAAGCCUAAAAGAAAGAGGGUUUUUGAAGAGUGGGGGACCAGAAAAGAAGAGGACAAUUUUACCUGAAUUGUUUUACUUUAGAAAAUAAAUUUGUUCAUGUGAUUCUGUGAGUCAAUUUACACAUGUAUAUAAAUACACAUUUCUUUAUUUAACCAUUAUUAUUAUCACUAUGUGAUCCCUCAAUGUGCUGGCUACCACGGGUGUAAGAUAAAUUACAGAAACUCCUUAUUCUGAAGGAUUCCAACAACAAUUUGGCAUUGUGCACUGUAUGGGGCCUGGGAAAAUCCUCUGAUUUGCCAUACCUUAGGAAAGGUCUUUGCAUGAUACUAGGCCAUGUCUCUUACUACAAUGAUGAGCAUUCUUAGAUUUAAAAAUAAUACCAAGCUGUCAGGAAAACUGAAUUCCAUCAAUAAUAACAUCUUUUCAUAAACUGAAAGCUUGCAAAGCCUUAAUUAAAAAAAUGAAUUUAUUACUAAGUGAAUUUAAUUCACAAAAGGAAUUUUCCCCAAUAUUUAGGCUGUUGUUGGUUUUGGCUUUGUUUUUAAUUAACAUUUUUAGUUGUAUGGUUUGAUCAAAUACUGAAUUUGAGUUCAAAGAUACAUUUCCUCUGAGGAUGCAGUCUAAAGAGGCCAAGUAAAUAAUAGAAAAUCAUAGUUUCCAAGUUUCGCAGAACAAAGCUCAGUAGUUCCAUGACUUUUUCAGUGUUCUACAGAAUUGAGCUACUCCCUCUUACACAAAAAAGUGCUCUAAUUUUCAUUUUUUUCUUCUUUGCUCAGUUUCUUCAUUUAUUUGCCUACUUUCUUAAUUUCUUCCUAAGUAAAUAUAUAGCUAUCUUUGAGGAGAAGUGAUGUAACAUCAGAAACAAAGAGUAGACUCACAAUUAGAGCCCACUGACUCAUGGGACUUUAGAUAAACCACUAAUCAGGAAACUGGGGGUGUUAAUGCUGUUUAGUUAGUUGAUUGAGGAGGUGAGGACAAAACCUGGUGACUUCAGGGCCUCAGCAACAGAACUCCUACCUAUUUCCAUUGCUACCACUUACCUUAUGGGCAUUAGAUAAUUCUGCAGUGAGUUAUUCUGUGCAUGAGGGGGCAAAGGCUUUAGAGUCAGGUAGCUGGGGAGUUAUUUUCUCUCUCUGCUAUUUAAUAGCUGUAUGACCUCAGGUGAAUUUCUUAAUCUCCGUUUCCUUGUUUGUAAUACCCAUCAUGAGAAGUUGUUCUGAGGAUCACAGAUACUAUACCUAAAGUACCCAACAAAGUCCUGACACAAGGAAGGUGUUCCAUAAACGGUAGCUAUUUGAAGUAGUCUAAAAGGUCCCUUUCAAAUGUUUAAUACACCCAUAUAAUCCCAAUCUUAAUCUCUCACUCUCUUGUUGGCCCAUCAUUAGAGCACCAGAUCCCCUUGACUGCUUUCCAGGGUAAGGAUGCAAGACCACUGAGAACUGUGCCGCGCUGGUAAGAAGAGGUGCUGAUGGCAUGCUGUUGCCUCUGCCAGACAGACUCUGUCUUUGCUGAAGUGUUUAGUAUUGCUAUUGUGGCAAAUGCCAUUUUAGUCAAAGGCAAUAAAUCUUCCUUUGUUUAAAUGACAGAUGGCUAGGAUUGUUACUUCUGUUUCUAGCAAACCCAGAAAGGGAAAAAAUAAAUUACUGACAUUCAGAGUUCUUGUUUUUUAAGAAUAUUAGGGGGAAAAUGAAAAUAGUAUAGUUUCAGCAAAGUUAUAUAGUUUUUGCAGUCAACAGAAUAAUGGGCCCCCUAAUGAUGUUCACGUCCUAACCCCUAGAAUCUAUGAAUAUGUUAGGUUACAGGGCAAAGGGGAAUUAAGAGUGCAGGUGGAAUUAAGAUUAAUUAGCUGACCUUAAGAUAGGGAAUGUAGCAUAAUUUAUCCAGGUGAGCCCAAUAUAAUCACAAUGGAAGACAGAGACAGAAGAAUCAGAGUCAGAGAAGACGUGGCUACAGAGGAGAGAGUGAUGAGAUGUGAGGAUUCUGCCUGCCAUUGCUGGCUUUCAAGAUGAAGGAAGGGGGCCAUGAACCAAGGGGAUGCCUCUAGAAGCUGGAAAAGGUAAGGAAACAGAUUCUCACCUAGACUUCCAGAAAGCUCUGCUGUUGCCUUGAUUUUAGCCUAGUGAGACCCAUUUCAGACUUCCGACCUCCAGUACGUGAAGAUAAUACAUUUGUGUUGUUUUAACCUAUUAAGUUCUAAAAUGGUGAACCCAAUUUCAUUUCUUCUCUCCCUUUACAAGGUAGGUGCUAUUAACAGUGAAAUGACAAUGCAAAAGCAAAGCAGAGGAAAGCACCAGCAAAGGACAUGCCUCGCUGACUGCAGAUUACAGUGUCCUCUACUCAAUUCCUAUCUUAAUAUGUAUCACAUGCCCUGCCUGAGAUAAUGAGGACUCUCCCAUUCCCUCAGUCUUCAGGUUGCCUCUACUUCUCUUCCAUUUUCUUUUUCCUUGAUAUGAUCCUCUUCUUUCUCAUUCUUCUCUUCUUUCAUUUCCUGAGUUGUUUUCUCUCCACUUCUUCCCCCUCUACUCUGAUAGGAAAUAUUAUAGCAGUAGCCCAAGCUAGAAGAAAAAGGACACACCUACCAGCUCCCUCCCUCCCUCACAACACCUACACGGCUGCUGGGGAAGCCUUGAAUGAAAGCUAGAAAAGAACAAAUAGGAAAAGAGGCAUUUGAAAACAGAACAGAAAUAGUCACAGACGGGUGACAGGCAGGAGAUGCCACCUCAUUGACAGCUGCCACCAUUUUCCAUAGAGAAGUUAUUCCAUUGUAGUAUACACCAGGGCUGGGUUUAAAUAUUUUUCCUAUGUACUUGGUAGUAUAGUGGAAGCUCCUCCAUUUCUCUAAAUAGUUAACUGCAUACUUAGAGCUCUUGGUAGCGUUUAGAACACGGAGUUAAUUAUUCUGAGUGUACCUAGCCCCAUCACUGUCUGUAAUCUGUACAAAAUUUGAUAAGCCCUUUUAAGGUAGUUAGAUAUUUAUUGAGACUCUGCUGUAUAUUUGGCAGUGCCCCAGAUAUAGGUAGUGGUGGUGACAGCAAGCAAUAGGACCAGUGGAGCCUGCUUUUUAAUAGAGAGUGAUCUCUCUGGUAUUGUUGUAAGUACAGCAUAUAAGCAACUUGAGGUGUUGUCUUAAAGAUGUGAGCUCACCUAAUUUACACAAGAGCAUCAAAGCCAGAAUUCCUCCCCUUGCUGAUGUUAGCCUGUAACUCUGUGCCUCUCAAGUGUAUAACUUCUUCUGUGGGAAUCAUGCUUCUGAAGCAUGAGGAAAGAACACACCCGUGUUUCCACUUUCUCUGCUGCUUUGCAUGUGAUCCCUCCAGGUAUGCAAAAUAAUGCCUCAAUAUCAUUUUGACCUGUGUUGUCAUUUUACAUAUUUUAUCAGAAGACUUCAUAUCGGAUGGAAGCAAAUCUUUAGAAGGGUUGUUAUAACAACUUGAACAGCCCAUCAUGCUCUAGGCAUGCUCCCUAUCACGGCUAUGUUUUCAUUCAUUAGAGAUGGAGGAGGAGGCGGCUUAAAAUGUGUAAUUCUAAUCACCUAUUCCUACAGCUCUCUAACUGGUCUCCGUGGCUUCUCUUGCCUUCCUCCAGUCUUGCCCGUGAACCUUGAUUAGAGGACAACACAACACUAACAGCCACUCCUCCCUCUCCCUCCUGACUCCUUAUUUGAGUUAGAGGCUCUCGUAACACCUGCGUCUUCCCCUUUGUCAGCAGUCAUCACAACGAAUUGUGAUUGCCUAUUUACUCAUCUGCAUCUCCCACUGAAUUCUGAUCCAUGGUGGCUGGCCCAUGCCUGUCUUGUGUACAUUUGCAUGUAAACCACUUAACCCAAGUGCCAGGAAGCAAACAGUACACGCAGGUGUGUGGAGUGAUUGAAAGCUAAUUUGCUACCUAAGAAUGUACAGUGAUUCCUCAGUGUUUAUUAGAUCAGGCCCAGACUCUUCAUUUCAGUUUUCAACUCCUCUGAUUUUUCUUUUAUACAAGCUUUCAGAUCUCCUCUUGGUUCUCAUCUAGCUCUUGCAUCUUUAUGCCGUGGGUUGAUUCCUCUGCCUGCCUAUCUGUAGUAGCUUGUCUCCUAGGAUGGCUGCCAUCAAUUUCUUCUCUUCUGUAUACACAUGCCACUCCCGCAUUGAGAGAUGGAGUCUUCUUUCCCCCUGGAAUCUGGUCUGGCCUGUGACUAAUUUCAAUAAUAGAAUCUUGCAUUUCUAUUGAAACUACCAAAAAAAAAAAAUUGUGUCAGCUACUACAGCUACUAAGUUUUGGGAUGGUUUGUUAUAUGGCAAUAGAUAUCCUCAAUACCAUUCUUCAAAGUCCCAAACCUACAUUUUCUGUGAAGCCUUACCUUGCUAGUCUAGUUAACACUGAUCUCCUCCUUCUCUGAAGUUCUGUGGGAAUAGAACUUUGUUGAUGCCACACAUUUUGUUAUCCAACUGUAUGUAUUAUUACUUUUCCUUUCCUGAAUGCCAGUAUGAACUCCAUGACCAAAUUAUAUGGUCUUUGAAGAUACCAAAUAGUGGAAAUAGGUCUUUUGUAAUCCCUUCAACAAGUCCUAGUACUGAAUAAAAAUGUAAUGGCUGUUGAAUUGGAUUAAAAGUAAAAAUAUUCUUGGCC
rnacentral:lncRNA from 10 species